rnacentral:rRNA from 1 species
UACGUAGGGUGCGAGCGUUAUUCGGAAUUACUGGGCGUAAAGCGUGCGCAGGCGGUUUUUUAAGCCAGAUGUGAAAUCCCCGGGCUUAACCUGGGAAUGGCAUUUGGGACUGCAAGGCUUGAGUGCGGCAGAGGAGACUGGAAUCCCUGGUGUAGCAGUGAAAUGCGUAGAUAUCAGGAGGAACACCGAUGGCGAAGGCAGGUCUCUGGGCUGACACUGACGCUCAUGCACGAAAGCGUGGGGAGCAAACAGG